UCAUGAAAUCGCCCCUUCUUCCGUAGAGUAUAAACCACUUCCUAUAAAAUGGACAUUGUCAGAGAACGUCGGGACGGAGUCCCCACGUUGAAAUGGCUACAACUCUAUAGGCCCUUACAUCAGACAACAGGAAGGGGUAGCUACAUUAAGAACUACAACUCUAUAGGCCCUUUACAUCAGACAACAGGAAGGGGUAGCUACAUUAAGAACUACAACUCUAUAGGCCCUUUACAUCAGACAACAGGAAGGGGUAGCUACAUUAAGAACUACAACUCUAUAGGUCCUUACAUCAGACAACAGGAAGGGGUAGCUACAUUAAGAACUACAACUCUAUAGGCCCUUACAUCAGACAACAGGAAGGGGUAGCUACAUUAAGAACUACAACUCUAUAGGUCCUUACAUCGGCCGACUACAGGGUUGGAGGGCAAACCUACAGGAGGGUCUCUCUCCAGCAGACGGACCGGCCGACUACAGGGUUGGAGGGCAAACCUACAGGAGGGUCUCUCUCCAGCAGACUGACCGGCCGACUACAGGGUUGGAGGGCAAACCUACAGGAGGGUCUCUCUCCAGCAGAUUGACCGGCCGACUUCAGGGUUGGAGGGCAAACCUACAGGAGGGUCUCUCUCCAGCAGAUUAACCGGCCGACUACAGGGUUGGAGGGAAAACCUACAGUAGGGUCUCUCUCCAGCAGACGGACCGGCCAACUACAGGGUUGGAGGGCAAACCUACAGGAGGGUCUCUCUCCAGCAUAUGGACCGGCCGACCACAGAGAGACAACAAGACAUGCACUCGGAAAUAUAUGUCAAUUACAAUUUAUUUUCAAAUGAGCGGUUGUUCUUAUUCAAAGUACUAGCGACUUCGAUGAGUGUAUUUAUCAGCUAUGAGUCUCCCGCUCUUGAGUGGUCCCCACCCCUUUCCUUUGUCUACCAAGCCGUCAAAUAGGGACUUUUCCUUGUGUCAUGCUUAGUACCCAAUGCAUAACUAAAUUGUGCGUGUGUUGAUGUGAUUAAGUUGGUUAGUAAAUAAAUAAUUAAGCCAA